rnacentral:rRNA from 1 species
CAGCCGCCACGGGAAUACGAAGGGGGCUAGCGUUGUUCGGAAUUACUGGGCGUAAAGCGCACGUAGGCGGACAUUUAGGUCAGGGGUGAAAUCCCGGGGCUCAACCUCGGAACUGCCUUUGAUACUGGGUGUCUCGAGUCCGGAAGAGGUAAGUGGAACUGCGAGUGUAGAGGUGAAAUUCGUAGAUAUUCGCAAGAACACCAGUGGCGAAGGCGACUGACUGGACAAGUAUUGACGCUGAGGUGCGAAAGCGUGGGGAGCAAACAGGAUUAGAUACCCCAGUAGUCCCUGUCUCUUAUAC